GCCUUCGGGCAUUUGGUCAAUUUGAAACGAUACAGAGAAGAUGUAUGUGGAGACCAUCUGUUCAAUUCUGGCGGAACGCUAAUUUUCAUGUAGUAGCAUGGCCCCUGCACUAAGGAUGGUAUGAUGCACUGGUGAUCCCUCUGAUCAGCACUUACUU
rnacentral:snRNA from 1 species